rnacentral:rRNA from 1 species
GAUGAACGCUGGCGGCGUGCCUAAUACAUGCAAGUCGAGCGAACGGACGAGAAGCUUGCUUCUCUGAUGUUAGCGGCGGACGGGUGAGUAACACGUGGAUAACCUACCUAUAAGACUGGGAUAGCUUCGGGAAACCGGAGCUAAUACCGGAUAAUAUUUUGAACCGCAUGGUUCAAAAGUGAAAGACGGUCUUGCUGUCACUUAUAGAUGGAUCCGCGCUGCAUUAGCUAGUUGGUAAGGUAACGGCUUACCAAGGCAACGAUGCAUAGCCGACCUGAGAGGGUGAUCGGCCACACUGGAACUGAGACACGGUCCAGACUCCUACGGGAGGCAGCAGUAGGGAAUCUUCCGCAAUGGGCGAAAGCCUGACGGACCAACGCCGCGUGAGUGAUGAAGGUCUUCGGAUCGUAAAACUCUGUUAUUAGGGAAGAACAUAUGUGUAAGUAACUGUGCACAUCUUGACGGUACCUAAUCAGAAAGCCACGGCUAACUACGUG